AACGAACGCUGGCGGCAUGCCUAACACAUGCAAGUCGAACGAAUGGUUUCGGCCAUUAGUGGCGCACGGGUGAGUAACGCGUGGGAAUCUGCCCAGCAGUGGGGGAUAACCUCUGGAAACGGAGGCUAAUACCGCAUACGCCCCUCGGGGGAAAGGCUUGCUGCUGCUGGAGGAGCCCGCGUCGGAUUAGGUAGUUGGUGGGGUAACGGCCUACCAAGCCUGUGAUCCGUAGCUGGUCUGAGAGGAUGAUCAGCCACACUGGGACUGAGACACGGCCCAGACUCCUACGGGAGGCAGCAGUGGGGAAUAUUGGACAAUGGGCGCAAGCCUGAUCCAGCAAUGCCGCGUGAGUGAUGAAGGCCUCGGUUGUAAGACUCUUCGUCCACGACCGAUGAUGACGGUAGUGGA
rnacentral:rRNA from 1 species